rnacentral:rRNA from 1 species
UACGUAGGUGGCAAGCGUUGUCCGGAUUUAUUGGGUUUAAAGGGUGCGUAGGCGGCCCUGUAAGUCAGUGCUGAAAUAUCCCGGCUUAACCGGGAGGGUGGCAUUGACACUGCGGGGCUAGAGUACAGAUGAGGUAGGCGGAAUUGACGGUGUAGCGGUGAAAUGCUUAGAUAUCGUCAAGAACACCUAUAGCGAAGGCAGCUUACUAGGCUGUAACUGACGCUGAGGCACGAAAGUGUGGGGAUCAAACAGG